CAACCAACAUGGCGUCCGUCGGUUGUUCACUGUGCAGUAGUAAUGUGAUAUCUCGUCCCGAACACAAGCGGAAAUCUUGCUGGUCCUGUUAACCCUAAGCUCCUGGAUGCGAUCUCAAGAUCUCUAAAGAACCUGCUGCACACUGGAACGAUAUCCCGCUGGAAGUACACCAAGCGGAGAAAGACGUGCGUGCGUGUGAGUUUGCCGUUCCAAUUUUCCACCCGCCGGAAUGGGAUGAAUGAAGACCGCGAAGGUUAAUGAAACGUGUUUUCGCGAAAUUCGGUGCAUUCGAUUCGCCAACAAUGCACCAUGCAAGGAGUGGUUGGAAGUGGAAACCCCGUUCCGAUCCGCACUUUACAUCUCACACGAAUUCAAUUCAAUUCAUCGGUCCCAAAAUCCAAUCAACGUUUAAUUUGCCGUUUCUAUUUGUGCCGGAUCAAUCGCAAAGUGCAGCCGAACCGUUACGUGCACGUCACAGGAAAUUGUUCUCGGGUGAAGCUGGGAUGCUGACCUCAACUGCCCCCACAGCUGAGUCAUCGAUGUGCAAUUAUAUAAACCAAAUCAACUGAAGGUGAGAUCCGUAUCGGGUGGGAAAUUUCGAUAACCCUAUAGCUUCUGACUCAUCCCGUGCGCCACAAAGUCAAGUGUGAAAAGUUAGAAAAUCCACCGUUUGCUCUUCUUUAUCACGCAACAAACAGUGCGCCAGACAAUCGGAUCAGUAUGAGGCUUAAGGUCGCUUGUCGCAAAGCAAAAACACGACUCACUGAACUCAAUAAA